rnacentral:rRNA from 1 species
CCCUGCUCAGGACGAACGCGGCGGCGUGCCUAAUACAUGCAAGUCGAGCGGGUUUAUCCUUCGGGAUAAGCUAGCGGCGGACGGGUGAGUAACACGUAGGUAACCUGCCUUUAAGACUGGGAUAACUAUCGGAAACGAUAGCUAAGACCGGAUAACCGGUUUUCUCGCAUGAGAGAAUCGUAAAACACGGAGCAAUCUGUGGCUUAGAGAUGGGCCUGCGGCGCAUUAGCUAGUUGGUGAGGUAACGGCUCACCAAGGCGACGAUGCGUAGCCGACCUGAGAGGGUGAACGGCCACACUGGGACUGAGACACGGCCCAGACUCCUACGGGAGGCAGCAGUAGGGAAUCUUCCGCAAUGGACGCAAGUCUGACGGAGCAACGCCGCGUGAGUGAUGAAGGUUUUCGGAUCGUAAAGCUCUGUUGCCCUAGACGAACAGCAUGAGGAGUAACUGCCUUGUGUGUGACGGUAUAGGAGAAGAAAGCCCCGGCUAACUA